AGAGGUGGCGACGGCGGAGGCGCGCGACGGCUAGGUUGGAGGCCGCCCCACCGGCAGUGCUCAAAUCCACCGCGUCAACCCGACAGCACGAAGCCGCCAACCUCAUCCUGCUUGAACGGAGCCGCCCACCUCAUCACGCUGGCCGCCCCCUUCCGUGCCGUACAGUCGCCGUUGCUCUCCCCACCACUGCAACUGCCAUAUCCUCCCUUGCAAUACUGUUUGGUCAUCACAGAGCUCAAGUCAUAGGACCAUAGCAUGCCAUGUUGUGGUUGAUGCAGAUCUGAGAUGACACCGAGGCAACGAGAUAGCGGGCGGCAGGCCGCUGAUGAAUAAUGACGACGACAAUUUUCACAAUUAUCUGGAGUUGGAGGCUAAGCCGGUGGACAAAGGUAGUGGAAGACCUGGUCAAUGUCGGGGAUGUCGGCGGUCCUGUCUCCCUCAUCUAUUGCAUCAGACCGUCUUCUCCUCAUUGUCAUGAUGCUUCAGAACUGU